AUCGGGGAGGCCACGCUUAGUUGG
rnacentral:siRNA from 1 species